rnacentral:misc_RNA from 1 species
AUGCCCAAAAAACUACAUAACUAAUCAAUUUAUUGAUCUCAUUACAAAAAUCCCAAACGAGAGACAGUAUCCAUUACGUAAAUCAACCAUCUGCUAACAUCAAUAAAUAUAUUGAGAACAGACCUUUGUGCGAAUUGUAAUGGCUACCAAGUAAACAACAGUGUACAUUUUAGUUUUCAUUGGCACAAAGGAAUGGGAAGUGUGCAUAUUAUGCAGCAAAUCGUUCUUCACUGCAUGCUCUGAAAUCGUUUGACAAUCAUGAGGCUCAUUUCCAUAUAACGUUGCGCACAGUUAGAUAGACAAUUAGAUUCACUGGAGCUGAACUUGCUUCCAGGUGUGCUAGUGAUACAUUUAUCCCAGCAAGCACUUGUAAGCUUUCCAACCAUUUCAUUGAUCAUGGCCCUUUCCUUCUGUUGAUUGAGAAAAUUCUGCAAUUCUGGUGACUGAAGAGAUGAAGGAUCCAUGGAGACUUCGACGGAGCAAGUCUAGUGAUUUUCCCGGUUAAACGGA